GGAGGUAUAGCUCAGUGGUAGAGCACUUGCCUUCCAUGCACAAGGUCCUGGUUCCAUUCCUGACACCACUC
rnacentral:tRNA from 1 species